rnacentral:rRNA from 1 species
GAUGAACGCUGGCGGCGUGCCUAAUACAUGCAAGUCGAGCGGCAAGACGAUAAGAUUGCUCCCCUGCCGUUGGCGACGGACGGAUGGGUAACGCAUGCAUAACCUUCCACUAUGACUGGGAUAACUUCGGGAGGAAACAGACACUAAUGGCUCAUAUGUUCAACCGCAUGGUUCAGUAGUGCAUGACGGCUUUCGUGUCUGUUUUAGCUGGUUUCGCGCUGGCUAAGCGAGUUGGUAAGGUAACAGCUUGCCAAGGCAACGAUGCGUAGCCGACCUGAGAGGGUGAUCGGCCACACUGGAACUGAGACACGGUCCAGACUCCUACGGGAGGCAGCAGUAGGGAAUCGUCCGCAAUGGGCGAAAGCCUGACGGAGCAACGCCGCGUGAGUGAUGAAGGUCUUCGGAUCGUAAAACUCUGUUAUUAGGGAAGAACAAAUGUGUAAGUAACUAUGCACGUCUUGACGGUACCUAAUCAGAAAGCCACGGCUAACUACGUG